CAGUCGCCGCGGGAAUACGAAGGGUGCAAGCGUUAAUCGGAAUUACUGGGCGUAAAGCGUGCGUAGGCGGUUUGUUAAGUCUGCUGUGAAAUCCCCGGGCUCAACCUGGGAAUGGCAGUGGAUACUGGCAAGCUAGAGUGUGUCAGAGGAUGGUGGAAUUCCCGGUGUAGCGGUGAAAUGCGUAGAGAUCGGGAGGAACAUCAGUGGCGAAGGCGGCCAUCUGGGACAACACUGACGCUCAGGUGCGAAAGCGUGGGGAGCAAACAGGAUUAGAUACCCGGGUAGUCCCUGUCUCUUAUAC
rnacentral:rRNA from 1 species